GGCCAAAUUAGCACCCUUAAAGGUGUUGAUCGUGUGGAAAAUAACCUGAGCAACGGUGCCUGCAGGCGUUCCCACAUCUGCACCAGCCAGCAGCAGGAACAGAAAUUUGGUUAUUAGCUGCCUGUGAUGGGACUGCUGGAGUAAAACUUGGAAUUGUGGGACUGCUGUCUUUGAAAUAAGUUUAUUAACUACACACAACAAAGCCAAUACAGCUAUGGGAGUGCAACUGGAGUUUUUUAUGCAUCAUCAAAACCUUCAGCUAAAUUCUACACUAGAAUUUUAAUUACCGUGGAUAGAGGAGGAAGAAUGAAGAUAGCUUGGUUUUCAGAUCCCAGGUUUCCUGUCCUGGUCAUCAGAAAAAUCCUCUCCCACCUUGUAAACUGAGCAAAUCUGCUCUGGAAACCAAUGAAAAAUGAGCAUCACCAUGUCCAUGUCAUUUUUACAGUGCCUUUUCUGACUAUUGCGCAGUUUAUUGCUGCUUUGAAAAGGGACUGUAAAAAUGCCACCUUCUGAUUUAGCAGAGAUCUGCUCUCUGUGUGUAAUCAGAAUCAUAUUUGCUGUCUUAAUUGACGAGAGUAAUUAGACAAGAUUAAUUGACAAGAGUAAUUAUAGAAUAAUUUUAAGGUCUUUUACUCUUGUUAGCGCUCCAGGCCAACAUAGCUAAGAGAGUGAGCUGGAUUCUGUUCCAGCUUGCGCUCCAUCCAUCAACAGAAUUGUUAACUACAUUCAAUUUACAGAGCCAACCAAUUACGCCUCGUGAGACAAUGGGGCUGCACAGGAGGACAGGAGGAUAGACUCUGGUGCUUACUUCUGAUUUCACACCAGUUUUACACUGGUGUAACUGUUGACUCUGUGGAAUUACUUCUGAUAUACGCAAGUGUGAAUAAGAUCAGAAUCAGACCCUAAAUUUACAAAAACUGUAUUUAGUUCUGAUAAUGGUGCAUGAGAAAGAACCUAGCUUGACUCUCAGGGCCAGCUCCCCAUCUGUACUCAGCACACCAGGGAAAAGGGGUGAAGAUGAGGGGGUUAGGUGGUGUGUCAUCUGUCCACCCCUGAUCCUGGGGGUUGCCAGUGGCCAAAUCAGCCCCCAGAGCAAGUUAGAGCAACCUUAGGGCUUUGAUCUAGAAUUGACGAGUCAAUAACGGUGGAACCCUCGUAGCCUGACUUUUACAGUCAUUUUUCAGAGUCGAUUCACACAUGGAGCAGAUUGUACAACAAACAGCCGCUGUCCCCACAGCACACGUCUCAGUUACUGUCAUCUUUUCAGUGCCUUGUCUUUUCAUCCUUUCCUCUUUUUGUUUUCAGCCAUAACAUUUGCAUUUGGAGACACCCUUAGCGAAGCAGGGCCAACCAUUGGCAAGGUUGUGGGGUGGUUGUUGUUGUUUUUAAGUAAGACAAAAAUCUACAUUCAGAUUUAAGAAAGGGCAUUAUUUUAUCGCUCUGUUUAAGCACUGCCAGGAGUUAUUCUAUUAUAUCCAAACAUGUCUAUUUACUCUUUAAAGCAUGUUCCUUUUAUUUACUCCUCCAGAGCUGCUUGUUUAAUCCAGUCUCUUUUCCACUGAAUUACACUUGCACAAUAACGCAAUUGCAAGGCCAAACAGGUUCAGCUUGGGUAGGGGUGGCGGUGGAGGGAGCAUGUAUUCAUGUUAAAUAAUAUCUCUGCCAUUUAAAAAUAAAGAAAUCAGUCUAAAGAUCCAUUCUGACCAGCAAUUUUUGUAUCUAAAUAUAAAAAAGGAGUCCUGAAUGGGAGUUACUGCUCAUGAUCUUGAUCAGCAAAGUUCUUUUAGAAACAAUACAUAAAAUCAAGGAAAACCAGCUGAAAAAUGAAGCCCAUUUUUAAGUCUUUUAUCCACGUAGUUU